AGAUCAUCUCCGGGCCCGAAUGGGGCUGGGGGAGUGGAACGGGGCGAUUCGGUCCCAGCUAGAGGGAAGUGAAAAUCGGGACUCGAGACCGACCAGAAGGCAUAGUUUUAAAUCCCGUUUAACUUUCUGAGCCUUGGUCUUCGCUGACAAACGAGAGCAUGGAUGUCAGGAAGGAAGCAGUCAAGAGAGGAGAGGAUUGCCCCCUGGCUAGCCAGAAGGGGUCAGAGUCUGAAUGGAGACUAAACUCUGGGGUGAUAAUCACUACAUUCUGUGGAAUCCCAGAUGAGAGAUGGGAGAGAAGAGGCUAAUAAUCUAAUUGCAGAUCUGGGAGAUGGGAUUAUGGAGACAGAACUGAUCUUUGGUCUCUGUGCAUGAAGAAAUAAACCAAAUCUGCAUCUACAAAACCAUGAGAGAGAAGAGAGAGCGGUCAGUAAGUCUGCUGAGAUUUCAAUCAUCCGGUGUGACUGUGGCAAGACCUGAUACCUUAUUUUGACAGAAGAAUUCCCGAGUAUUUUCCCCCAUAUCUACUCUUGUUGGUUUUACAAAAGAAGCAUCACAUGGCUUCUGCCCUCCUGGAAUAUACUGUCUAGCUGCGAAGGAAAGAAAAUGGAAAGAAUGCGGGGGGUAGGGGGAGAAGAAGGAGAGGAAGAAGGAGGAAGAGAAGGAGGAAGAGAAACAGCCUUCUUUACUACAGCAGGUGCCAGUCAACCCCUAUUUUCCGGUGGAGAAGCAGUGCUGAUGGGAAUGUCCAGGUCAGGAAGUAACAAAGUGGCCAGCUCUGCUCAUGCCUUCCCCCUCGAACCUGCUCUGCCUCUGUCUGGGGUGCUCUCUGAUUCCAGUAUUCUCACUAUUAGUCUGGUCCAAACAUGGAUACAGACCACUCCCCUUGUUCCACGAGGCUGGGUUUAUCCAAACGAUCUGCAUCAAGUCAACACAAGGGACCCCAGGCCUUGAAGACUCAGUCCUGGUCCACAUUCUGCCUAAAGGGCAUUUCUAGCACCAGAGAAAAGCAGAACAUCAUAGGCACGACACUGGCCUGCUUUCUUCCAGCUUCUGCUACAGGAUCCUCUGCUCACUAUUUAGAGGCAUUCUCCCGGUCUCUUUGCCAUCUUCUGAGCCAAGGUCAAAGAUUCCAGUUCUGAUACAAACAGGAACAACCUUUCUGGAGGACGAUUUGACAGCACUGAUCAAAAAAUCUUUAAAAUAUGCAUUGCUGUUGUUGCGACAUUACUAAAUUGUGACACAGCUAUUCCAUUUAUAGAAAUAUUCCAAGGAAAUAAAAAUAGACCGUGGACAAAGAUUUAAUCUACAGCACCCAUCAGGGCGCUAUUUACAUAAUAAUGAAAGAACUCACAUGCUCAAACCUGGGGGUUAAUUAAAUAAAUUAUGGUAUAUGCUUAGAACACUAUGUAGCCAUUGAUCAUAUUUUAUAAUUGUAUUUGUUGACCUACUGUGACGAUAUAUUGUGACAUUAUAUAGAGAAGCAGGCUGUAAUAUAAGAAUUAGAGUAUUUCAAGUUUUGUUUACAAAUCGCAUAUACACAUUCUCCUGCCUUUUGUCAGACUUUCAUCCCAAGUAAUUUAUGGGAUUCCCUGUGGGAAGCCUGUGUCUUACAGGAGUCCAAGCCCGCUCAUCAGUUAAGUUUGGCCCUCAAUGAUAUCACAAUAUUAACCAGUCCAUUACCAAAGUCUAAAACUAAAGCAGUUUGGCCAAAUGUCCCAGAAUGGCAUUGGUACGACAUGGUGAAGUGAUGUUUCCACCCUCUCUGUGGUUGCUACUUUAUGCUCCUAAUCUCCUAUGGAUAGCUCUUGGACAAAAGGAACAAAACCACGUUCAGAAACAGUACAACCUAAAACAGGGACUCCUGGGGCACCUGGGUGGCUCAGCUGAUUAAGCACCCAACUUCUGCUCAGGUCAUGAUCUCAUGGGUUUGUUAGUUCAAGCCCCACUUUGGGCUCUGCACUAACAGGGCAGAGCCUGCUUGGGAUUCUGUCUCCCUCUCUUGCUGCCCCUCCCUUGCUCUCUCUCUUUCUCUCAGAGAUAAAACACACACACACACACCUUUAAAACAAAACAAGAUAAGACAGGAGCUCUUGUCCCAGAAUCCUUGGGCAUAAUCCAGAGUCUAUAACCUUGGUUGGGAAGACUUAAGUCUUAAAUUUAAAAAAAAAUGUUUUUUAAUGUUUAUUUAUUUUUGAGAGAGACAGACUGUGAGCGGGGGAUGGGAAGAGAGAGGGAGAUACAGAAUCCGAAGCAGGCUCCAUGUUCUGAGCUGACAGCACAGAGCCCGAUGUGGAGCUCGAACGCAUAAACCGUGGGAUCGUGACCUGAGUGAAGUUGGAUGCUUAACCAACUGAGCCACCCAGGCACCCCAAGACCUAAAUCUUUAUGUUCACUGACUUGUACCUAAAAUUCCCCAUGUCCUUCAGUUAUGCAUAUAGGCAGCAAAGCACAGUGGUGUUACAGCUGUUGUACUGUGUCUUCACUGCCCAUAAAAAUCGCAGAUGUUUCCAUUAUACAAUAGCUGCUGCAGAUUUCUUACACCAGCCUUCAUGUUCAUCACUACUUUGAAACUAUGGUGGUAUUUACCUGUGUGCACGUUUUCCCAUUUAAUGCUUUUAUAAAGAACCAGACAUAUUACCAUAUCACAAUUUUAUAAUAACUUUUUUUUUACAUUAGUGGUUCCCUUUGUGUUUUAUUUGAUGCAUUUAGUAUUAUUCUGACAGGGAAGCCGUGGAUUUCCCAGAUUGCCAAGGGAUCCAGGGCAGAAAAAUGUUUAAGAAUCCCUGGCCUCCGGGGCACCUGGCUGGUUCAUUUGGUAGAGCAUGUGACCCUUGAUCUCCGGAUUAUAAAUUCGAGCCCCAUGUUGGGUCUAGAGAUUACUUAAAAAUAAUUUUAAAAAUCUUAAAUAAAAAAAGAACCCUUGACCUCUAAAUAUAUUUUUGGUAGUGGUGGUGGAGUGGAGAACUCUCUAAUUCUGCAGGAGCUUAAUAAUCCUGUUAAUAGUAUCAACUUAAAUGACCAAGCAAAGCAGAUGACAUCCCAUUUUGAAGCCUGGGUCCCCCAAAACAAAGAUAUGUCCCUUUUAUCCGCAGGACGAGAAGAGCCACAUCCUAAGCUUCAUGCCUGUCCCGAACAAAUGGAGAGGCAACUCUAAAAACACAACGGCUUCAGGCGCCUGGGUGGCUCAGUUGGUUAAGUGUCCGACUGUAGCUCAGGUCAUGAUCUCCUGGUUCAUGGGUUUGAGCCCCACUGUGCUGACAGCUCAGAGCCUGGAGCCUGUUUCGGAUCCUGUGUCUCCCUCUCUCUCUCUGCCCCUCCCCUGUUCACGCUCUGUCUCUCUCUAAAAUAAAUAAACUUAAAAAAAUUUUUUUUUAAUUUAAAAUCACAACAGCUUAAUAAAGAAUUUAUUUUGUUGUAAUGGGAGACACUAGAUCACCGUUAAGGGCAGUUGAAAAGAUCCAACUGAGAGGGGGAGGUUCAAAGUACAGGAGAGGAAGACUCAUCCAUGCUGAACGUGAUUUCCUAAGGCAGCCACGAGGGAUGCUUGCAAGGCUGAGGGAGGGGGACUGGGCUCAGAUGGAGGAGCCCAGCGAUUCUAGCAGAUGGAACGAUGGAGCAGAUGCCAGUAGGUUGCACGUUUGGUGUCGGCAAGAUGAGGGAUUCCAGUCUGAUGGUGUCUGUUUUCUCCGAGAAGUGGGAAGUGAGAUCAUCUACUAAGAGGGGUAGAUACAAUAAAAUAACAAUAAGUAAUAGGCAACUAUCACUUAGCAGUUGACAAAGCGUUUUCAGCGUCUUCUUACAACAGUCCAGGAAGGAAAUCAUUAUAUUUGUGUUGCAGUUGAGAAAUCUGGGCUUAGAUGGGGCGCCUGCGUGGCUCGGUUGGUUAAGCGUCUGACUUCGGCUCAGGUCAUGAUCUCAUCGCUUGUGAGUUCGAGCCCCGUGUCGGGCUCUGUACUUCAGAACCUCUCUCUAUGCCCCUUCCCUGUUCACUCUCUCUCUGUUAGAAGUAAAUAAACAUUAAAGAGAGAGAGAGAGAAAUCUGGGCUUAGAGGCCUAUUAGCUUUCUUUUCCCCAAAAUUACCCAGCUGGAAAGAGAAGAAGCUAGAGCAUAAACUCAGCCCCUCAAAUAGAAAAUUCAUCCUGGAUGCGGUGGGAGAGAGCUUUAUUUAUGUGUUCGCUCCUCUGUUUUUUAAAAUGACUAGAGUUACCUGGUUCAGGGUUUUAUCUGAUACACAUUCCUUCAGUCUUGUCUUUCUUUUUUGAAGGUGGGGCCGUAAGCUGAAGAGAGGGCCAAAUCUGUCUACAUUCCUACGUUUUGAAAUGAAAAGGCCAGGAUCUUUCUUCAGGGACACUUGCAGCCACUACUAUGGGUCUUUGAUGCUGUCCUGAGGCACUGAUGACUGGUCACAGCCAGUAGCGGACCAGGCAGGAUGCCAGAAUCAAGGAAGCAGGCCUGGAGUUUGGGCAAGCACGUGUCAGGGGCCGGGUAAGCAAUAAAAAAAUGGAGUUUAUCAAUCGUAAGAGAGCCAGACCAGAUGGGACCUUCAGACAUCAAGCAAGUGCUCAGCACUCACACAUCCCAGAGCCACUGACAGAAAGGGAAGAAUCAGGUAGGUAACUCCAGACAGUCACUUCCUCCAGCCUAGUGCCAAUGUGGUGCCCCCCUCCCUCCGGGAGAAUCAGUGAGAAUUCGGAACUGGAAGGUUCUGCUCCGAGCAUCACAUCGUUGAUAGUUGUCUGGCCAGUAUGCACUAACUCAGGGGAGAGGAGCAGCCCUGUCACAUCAUGCCUGUGGAGCCCUCUCACCUGCCCCCUGCUGGCACCCCCUUAAUGCCCAGCUCCCCCAGGCGAGAUGCUUUCCUGUGCUUACUCCCCUGGUCUUGCCUCUGAAUUACAAGCCUUGUGGCUGACGCUCCAUUACUACCUGCCAGCUGACAGUUGACAGCCCCCCUUUCGGAUUCCUGAAUAUACCCCCAUUCUGGGUUCCCAACCCCCUUGCCUUCCCUCGCUCUUGGGAUGUCCUGCAAUCUUAGCAUGAAUUCCCCUUGCAGAUGCUUUCUUGGUUUUGCUGCAAUGUCUAACUGCCUGGAAUCUUGUCUUCUUUCCUGCAACUGGUCCUGGAUCUUAAGUGGUGUGUGUUUAAUACAUAACCGGUCAGUGUAGCUCCAGGACUCCACCCUUCCCAGUCUGCUGUCUUCUUCUAUAAGCAAGCCAGCCAGGUCCAGAGAAGACAGCAGAGGUGUCUUCCUGACAGUGGGAGAGCAGUGGAUAUACAAGGCAUUAAAUACAGGGCUGUGAGUGUUGGAACUGGACAAGACCGUAGACAUCAAGUCUGUUGCUAUAGUUUCACAGACAAGGAGGAUUCAUUGCUCAGAUCUUCACAGUCCUAUGGCUAAAAAGUAACAAGUGAAACCAAAACUCACGUUCUCCAUCUCUCUUCUAGCAUUCUUUGUCCUAUCCCAUGAUGCUACCCUAAACUUACAUUGGAUUAUUUUUCUGAUUUUAUUGUGUAAAAUGUGUGUAACACCGAACACUGCUGAAAUAUGCUCAGAUCCCAUACUCCUUUGGCUCACGUAGACUGAUCAGCUCCUUCUGGGUAAAAUGAACAUUGUUCUGAAAGUGUAGAUUUCAUGCUAAGUGUCCUUAACACAAUAAUAAUAAUUUCAAAAAAAGAACAUUGUUCUAGCUUAGGAGUUCCAGAGCUUUCCUCUGGGUGUGUAAUUGGUGUGUUAUCUUUGUGUCUAUGUGCAGGUCAUCGUUUGGUUAGGGGUUUUUUGUGGUGAUAAGCUGAUGGGGACAAGGCUUCACUCUCCUGGGUGGUGGGGAAGGUGAGGGCUGUUUACUGACCGAAUCAAUCAUGAUUGUCCUGCCAAUGGGCAGUGGACCCACCUGGACGGGAAAGUCCAAAAGAGAUGGGAGGUUUUGAAUUCUGGGUGGUGCAGACAUGUUUUUCUCAAGCAAUAUGUACUCGUUUUGGAAAAAAGUUAUUAUUGUAAGUAGGCUCCACACCCAACGUGGGGUUUGAACUCAGAGCCCUGAGAUUAAGGGUUGCACGCUCUACAGACUGAGCCAGCCAGGAGCACCUAGAAAAAAAAUUGUUAAAUACACACAAACAGAAAGAAGAAACCAAAGCCAUCACCUGUUAUUUACACUAUGCAUGUUUUGCAACAU